GCAUAUCAAUAGCGGAGGAAAAGAAACCAACAGGGAUUGCCCCACUAACGGCGAGUGAAGCGGCAACAGCUCAAAUUUGAAAUCUGGCCCCAGGCCCGAGUUGUAAUUUGCAGAGGAUGCUUUUGGCGCGGUGCCUUCCGAGUUCCCUGGAACGGGACGCCAUAGAGGGUGAGAGCCCCGUACGGUUGGACACCAAGCCUUUGUAAAGCUCCUUCGACGAGUCGAGUAGUUUGGGAAUGCUGCUCUAAAUGGGAGGUACAUUUCUUCUAAAGCUAAAUAUUGGCCAGAGACCGAUAGCGCACAAGUAGAGUGAUCGAAAGAUGAAAAGCACUUUGAAAAGAGGGUUAAACAGCACGUGAAAUUGUUAAAAGGGAAGCGCUUGUGACCAGACUUGCGUCCGGUGAAUCACCCAGCUCUCGCGGCUGGGGCACUUCGCCGGCACAGGCCAGCAUCAGCUUGCCGUCGGGGACAAAAGCUUCAGGAACGUGGCUCCUCUCGGGGAGUGUUAUAGCCUGUUGCAUAAUACCCUUCGGCGGGCUGAGGUACGCGCUCCGCAAGGAUGCUGGCGUAAUGGUCAUCAGCGACCCGUCUUGAAACACGGACCAAGGAGUCAACCUUAUGUGCGAGUGUUUGGGUGUCAAACCCCUACGCGUAAUGAAAGUGAACGCAGGUGAGAGCUUCGGAGCAUCAUCGACCGAUCCUGAUGUUCUCGGAUGGAUUUGAGUAAGAGCAUAUAGGGUUGGACCCGAAAGAAGGUGAACUAUGCGUGUGUAGGGUGAAGCCAGAGGAAACUCUGGUGGAGGCUCGCAGCGGUUCCCACGUGCAAAUCGAUCGUCAAACAUGCGCAUGGGGGCGAAAGACUAAUCGAACCUUCUAGUAGCUGUUUCCGCCGAAGUU
rnacentral:rRNA from 1 species